UAGGGAAUUUUGGACAAUGGGCGAAAGCCUGAUCCAGCAAUGCCGCGUGUGUGAAGAAGGCCUUCGGGUUGUAAAGCACUUUUGUCCGGAAAGAAAUCCUUGGCUCUAAUACAGUCGGGGGAUGACGGUACCGGAAGAAUAAGCACCGGCUAACUACGUGCCAGCAGCCGCGGUAAUACGUAGGGUGCAAGCGUUAGUCGGAAUUACUGGGCGUAAAGCGUGCGCAGGCGGUUUGCUAAGACCGAUGUGAAAUCCCCGGGCUCAACCUGGGAACUGCAUUGGUGACUGGCAGGCUAGAGUAUGGCAGAGGGGGGUAGAAUUCCACGUGUAGCAGUGAAAUGCGUAGAGAUGUGGAGGAAUACCGAUGGCGAAGGCAGCCCCCUGGGCCAAUACUGACGCUCAUGCACGAAAGCGUGGGGAGCAAACAGGAUUAGAUACCCUGGUAGUCCACGCCCUAAACGAUGUCAACUAGUUGUUGGGGAUUCAUUUCCUUAGUAACGUAGCUAACGCGUGAAGUUGACCGCCUGGGGAGUACGGUCGCAAGAUUAAAACUUAAAGGAAUUGACGGGGUCAUA
rnacentral:rRNA from 1 species